UGAAAUGUAGGAGGAGUCAUCUCAGAAGAUUUUGUAGACCAACUCUGUCCUUCAAUAGGAAUGUAUGUACCACACAUCAUGGUUGAGAUCCAGAGCGAGAUAUUCUAGACCUGGAAAGGUGUCCCUCUCCAUCUCUGACAAACAAUCCAUUUGAACAGAGCUCUCUGAAGUGUCACUCCAGGUAUGAAGGGGUGGAGAAGAAAACUUUGAGCUUUGACUGCAUGGCAACAGAUGCACCAAAAUCCAUGCAGGAGUGAAAUCCUGCUGGGGUCAUCAUUGGAAUUCAGAGACAGCUGACUCCCGUUGAAAACCUGAGAAUAUUUUGCAUUUGUUUGCUGUUUUGCUCAUGUCUGCAUCAAGGCAGACAGGCAGUGUGGUUAUUGGCCCUGGACCCCUUCAGAGCUCGUCAUCGAUGCCACCGAACAAGUUAGAUCUAAAUACAGCUGGAGCAGAAAUAAACUGCCAUCACCAGAGUGAAAGGAAGAGGAUGGGUAGUGUGAGAAUAUUGAAAACUGGAGUGUUCUUGUCAUUUUUGCUUGAUGUUGUUUAAAGGAGUCCCUAACCGAGGCUGAUUUCAAGAGGUGCCAGCACAGAGGAGGAUGUGUCGUGAGUACACCCUCUCCUUCCUUGCCAGUGGGUCUACAGGUGCCCUGUAAGUAGAUUCUUACCAGGAUUUGAUUUAAAUCGAUAUAUUAGCCUGAAAUAAACAUCUCUUUUGUGUAUUUGUGCAUUUUUAAGUUGUGGAAGUAUCUCAUUAAUUCAUUUAAUUAUGCAGAGGUGUGACUGAAUCUGCUUUCUCUGUUGCACAGCAAAUUAAGGCCGAAAAAGGGCCUCUGAGGAGCCACAUAACCCAAGCAAUUCCCUGAGAAGCUGCAGCCUCCAGACAAUUUGCCCUUGCCUUGCCUAUGCCUCCCUGAAAGCAUCUUGCCCUGCUGAUGUAGACCAGAGCAUGAAGCUUUUUCCUGGUAACUUUCCCCUAUAAUAGCAUGUCCCAUGUAUUAUUUCUUUGUAAAAAUCCUUCUCUUGUCAUAGGAAACAAGAGCCCUGAAA